AUUGAACGCUGGCGGCAGGCUUAACACAUGCAAGUCGAGCGGGGGCUUCGGUCCUAGCGGCGAACGGGUGAGGAAUGCUUGGGAAUCUGCCCAGUAGCGGGGGAUAACGUUUCGAAAGGAACGCUAAUACCGCAUACGCCCUACGGGGGAAAGGGGGGGAUCUUCGGACCUCUCACUAUUGGAUGAGCCCAAGUCGGAUUAGCUAGUUGGUGGGGUAAAGGCCUACCAAGGCGACGAUCCGUAGCUGGUCUGAGAGGAUGAUCAGCCACACUGGAACGGAGACACGGUCCAGACUCCUACGGGAGGCAGCAGUGGGGAAUAUUGGACAAUGGGCGAAAGCCUGAUCCAGCCAUGCCGCGUGUGUGAAGAAGGCCUUCGGGUUGUAAAGCACUUUAAGCGAGGAGGAAUGGCUGAGGGUUAAUAACCUUCAGCAGUGACGUUACUCGCAGAAUAAGCACCGGCUAACUCUGUGCCAGCCGCCGCGGUAA
rnacentral:rRNA from 1 species